CCUACGGGAGGCAGCAGUGAGGAAUAUUGGUCAAUGGACGAGAGUCUGAACCAGCCAAGUAGCGUGAAGGAUGACUGCCCUAUGGGUUGUAAACUUCUUUUAUAUGGGAAUAAAAUGUUCCACGUGUGGGAUUUUGUAUGUACCAUAUGAAUAAGGAUCGGCUAACUCCGUGCCAGCAGCCGCGGUAAUACGGAGGAUCCGAGCGUUAUCCGGAUUUAUUGGGUUUAAAGGGAGCGUAGGUGGAUUGUUAAGUCAGUUGUGAAAGUUUGCGGCUCAACCGUAAAAGUGCAGUUGAAACUGGAAGUCUUGAGAACAGAUGCGGUGGGCGGAAUGUGUGGUGUAGCGGUGAAAUGCUUAGAUAUCACGAAGAACUCCGAUUGCGAAGGCAGCUCACUGGACUGCAACUGACACUGAGGCUCGAAAGUGUGGGUAUCAAACAGGAUUAGAUACCCGGGUAGUC
rnacentral:rRNA from 1 species